rnacentral:lncRNA from 1 species
AGCAUGCAAGUUUGCCGAGCUUAAAGAGAAGAUAGAUCGUCGUUCUGGUAAGAAGCUGGCAGAUGGCCCCAAAUUCUUGAAGUCUGGUGAUGCUGCCAUUGUUGACAUGGUCCCUGGCAAGUCCAUAUGUGUUGAGAGCUUCUCUGACUAUCCUCCACUUGGUCGUUUUGCUGUUUGUGACAUGAGGCAGACAGUUGCUGUGAGUGUUAUCAAAGCUGUGGACAAGAAGGCUGCAAGAAGUCACCAAGUCUGUCCAGAAAGCUCAGAAGGCUAAAUGAAUAUUAUCCCUAACCCCUGCCACCCCAGUCUUAAUCAGUGGUGGAAGAGCGGUCUCAGGACUGUUUGUCUCAAUUGGCCAUUUAAGUUUAAUAGUAAAAGACUGGUUAAUGAUAACAAUGCAUCUUAAAGCCUUCAGAAGGAAAGAAUGUUUUGUGGACCAUUUUGUGUGUGUGGGGGGGCAGUUUUAAGUUAUUAGUUUUCAAAAUCAGUACUUUUUAAUGGAAACAACUUGACCAAAAAUCUGUCACCGAAUUUUGAGACCCAUUAAAACAAAUUUAAUG